CAGCCGCCACGGGAAUACGGAGGGUGCAAGCGUUAAUCGGAAUUACUGGGCGUAAAGCGUGCGUAGGCGGUUCGUUAAGUCUGUUGUGAAAGCCCCGGGCUCAACCUGGGAAUGGCAAUGGAUACUGGCGAGCUAGAGUGUGUCAGAGGAUGGUGGAAUUCCCGGUGUAGCGGUGAAAUGCGUAGAGAUCGGGAGGAACAUCAGUGGCGAAGGCGGCCAUCUGGGACAACACUGACGCUGAGGCACGAAAGCGUGGGGAGCAAACGGGAUUAGAUACCCCCGUAGUCCCUGUCUCUUAUAA
rnacentral:rRNA from 1 species